GCUCGUUGCGGUAGCCAAUAACUAAUACAUUAUAUAUAAGAAAGCGAAAGAAUGUAAUAUCUAUAUCAGGCAACCUAAAAUAUAACGGUUUACACCAUAAUCAUGACGAUCAUCAAGGGGGAAAACUGGCCCCGGGUAGACGCUCUCAUGUAUUUAGAGACAUAGCAAAUAUUUGUCAAAAGUCAUAUACCAACAUUGCCCAAUGUCGAGAUUCAUACGAACAUACAUAUACAUAUGACCUGGGCACAAGAUAGCCAAUGGCGAUAUACAAUUCAAGGAAGAAAGAAAAGGGGGGAGGGCAGGGAGCAUGAAGAAAGGAAAGGAGAAGCGCAGCGGAUUCUCAAAGGCAGCAGAUGAAAAUAAAUAGUGAAGAGAAAAUCCGGAUCCGUGGACCGAGGAUAUAUACAGAAAAUAAUAACAAAUAAAGGAAGGUCACAUCCCCUAGACCCAUGUUUCUGCGCAGCAUAGUAUGUUUCAUGUAAAGGGGAUCGUGAAUAAUCUAUAGAAAAAAUUUUUUCUAAUUUGCUGAAAAGAGGUUAAGGUGGAGAGGAACCUUCGUGCGUAUGGUUAUUUCAUACGCAAGACUGUGCAAAGAACGUCGGGAUGUACGUUAGCCACUAUGGGCUACAUAAACUGAGAGUCAAGGUGACUUUGCGGAGUAACGAGGGCUUCCCGGCCGGAAAAUUAAGGAGAUUGGCAGGUUGGUCGUUACCAGGGUGACAUAGCAAACCGAAACCCA
rnacentral:sRNA from 2 species